rnacentral:rRNA from 1 species
UCAUCUCCGGGGGUAGAGCACUGUUUCGGCUAGGGGGCCAUCCCGGCUUACCAACCCGAUGCAAACUGCGAAUACCGGAGAAUGUUAUCACGGGAGACACACGGCGGGUGCUAACGUCCGUCGUGAAGAGGGAAACAACCCAGACCGCCAGCUAAGGUCCCAAAGUCAUGGUUAAGUGGGAAACGAUGUGGGAAGGCCCAGACAGCCAGGAUGUUGGCUUAGAAGCAGCCAUCAUUUAAAGAAAGCGUAAUAGCUCACUGGUCGAGUCGGCCUGCGCGGAAGAUGUAACGGGGCUAAACCAUGCACCGAAGCUGCGGCAGCGACACUGUGUGUUGUUGGGUAGGGGAGCGUUCUGUAAGCCUGCGAAGGUGUCCCGUGAGGGAUGCUGGAGGUAUCAGAAGUGCGAAUGCUGACAUAAGUAACGAUAAAGCGGGUGAAAAGCCCGCUCGCCGGAAGACCAAGGGUUCCUGUCCAACGUUAAUCGGGGCAGGGUGAGUCGACCCCUAAGGCGAGGCCGAAAGGCGUAGUCGAUGGGAAACGGGUUAAUAUUCCCGUACUUGGUGUUACUGCGAAGGGGGGACGGAGAAGGCUAUGUUGGCCGGGCGACGGUUGUCCCGGUUUAAGCGUGUAGGCUGGUUUUCCAGGCAAAUCCGGAAAAUCAAGGCUGAGGCGUGACGACGAGGCACUACGGUGCUGAAGCAACAAAUGCCCUGCUUCCAGGAAAAGCCUCUAAGCAUCAGGUAACAUCAAAUCGUACCCCAAACCGACACAGGUGGUCAGGUAGAGAAUACCAAGGCGCUUGA